AGAACGGGUAGUCAUGGGACUGUCAUCAUGUGCUGUCCAGGUUAACAUGUAGCAUUUCUAUUACUAUUAACAGACUUUCUGCUCCUCACUCCAUCUGUUCUCUGAAAUAAUUGCAGUUGUACAGACCAUGCCUUCGCUACAGGCAAGCUCUGGGGAAGAGGAUAGUGCUUUUAUGAGAAAAAAAAAAAGUGUUAAAAAAUAACAGCAAACAUGAGAAGAGAGUGGGAAUGAAGCUAACAGCAGGUUUCCAAUUUCUUUCGGAUUCCGGCCUGCAAAGGUGGCGUUUUCACACUUGUUUGGGGUGACCAAGCCCAGCCAGAUGGGGAUUACCCUAUAAACUGAUCAGGAUUUUCCAGAUCUACUUUAAAACUAGACUCAGUGAAUCAUCAAGACUGAGGGGCCUUUAUCUAAGAAUUUUUGAAAUACACAGACCUCCAUCCUUGGAAGAGCACAGUAGACCCGCUUUUCUCUGUGUCCUCAAAAUGUCACUCUUUCAUCGUCACUGGCCCCUCAGAGAUGCAAGAAGAGACACCAUACUCAAGAGGCAGAUUGGUUUAGCAGGAGGGCAACAGCCUGGGAAGUGCUGGGACCAAGAAUUCUGAUGCCACGUGACAUGAAUCAAUCCCUUCUUCCCUCUGUGCCUCCUUCUCCAGGGUGGAAAAGGUAAAAUGAAGUUAGAAGUUAGGGGCUCCUGCUUUUAAAAACACUGAACCCUGGAUUGGGGAAGGAUCUAGUAACCUUAGUUAAGCUAACAUGGGCAUCCUUGUAACUCCAUCCUGAGAGAUCCUCCUCACCUCAGUCCCCUCAUUUGGCUGUAACCCAGGGGUAACAAAAGUCACCUCACUGUGAUUCUCAGCCCUCUUUCUGGGAGAAGAGAAGGCUAGAGUGGCAGAGAGCCUAGGUCUAUGCCCACCAAAGGCGGAUUCGAGGCAUGGCACCAAACCAGAAUAUCCCAACUCCACUCCCUCCUGAGAGGGAGCACAUGGGCCUGGGGGGUCCUAUUCCCUGUCUGUAUCUACCAUGACCCACGAGUGGUCAGCACUGGGUAGUUGCAGAAAGGGGACUUGGUGCAAAUGACACAUAUGACAUAUAGUGUUUGCUCGGCCCUUCCCUUGGGUUCAGACCAAGUAUAGACAGCAUGUACCAGUGACAAUGGAUAGUUGCAAAGGCAAUGUAAUGAAGGGAAUUUUGGGGAACCAGGCCUCAAGAUAGAAGUACAUUGCUUCUAUCCCUGUGAGUGAUGUUCAUCUCUGUUCCCCAUCCCCCAAGCUACUUAUUUUCCCUUACAACAUCCCUUGUCUACAGGGAAGGUGUGUUGGCCCAUCCCUCUAGGGCAGAGAGAAGGGAAGAAGCAAUGUUAGAAGUCUGUUCUAGGGCCAGCUGACAAGCAGGGUUCAGAGCUGGAAGCUGGGGUGUGUAGUGCUACCCUCUCAUGCCCUGGCACACAAGUCUUUAAGGGGCUCUUUUGCUUUGGAGAUCCUGAUCUUUAAAGCAUAUCCUUGGGAAAGAGUCUCCCACCCCAUCUCUCUAGUCCCUUUAAAUCCUGUCUUAAAGUGAGGUCUUUUUUGUGGGCUCUGUUUGGCAGGAACAAAGAACACUGCUGUGUAGUGAGGGGAUUUCCAUCUCCAAGGGAGAGAAGACCUGGGCUUGGUUCUCGUUUGGACACAAACUAGCUGGAUAACUUUAGGUCUCCUCAUUGGUGAAAGGAAGGGUUGGAUGGGGUGACAGGCUAGGUCCUCCACUUAUCUCAGGGUUCGUUUUGUGUAAGUGCAAGUGCAGCCCAGGCUGCAUGUCCGUGGGUAGGAAGGCAACCCCAGCCCCUGACCCCUUCCCGUGGGUGGGGGGGGUCACCUGCCACCUGUUCCACUAUUGUUCUAACACGUGGUGCCCCAGAACACCAUCAGGGAACACUGUCAGUGGAGAAACCAGAGGAAGGCCUGCGUUCCACGUGGAGGAACUCAGGGCCACCCUGGGGACCUGCCUGGUGCCUCCCCCAGACCCUGAAGUAUGCCAGGAGAGAUGCCUGGGUCUGAGGUGGCUGCUGGAGAGAGACCGGGUUCUGAGCCUCCCAUUCUCAGCAGGGAUAAUUGCUGAACUCUGCCAGCCAAACACCUCGAAAGAGCUAAAAUGACUUUAAAUGCCUAAACAUUUAAAAACAAACCUUACAACACAGGCUUUUAUUUAUUUUUUUUUUUUUAGCCCAGUGCUAAAGCUCUUUCUCUGUCUCUCUCUGUGUCGCUUGCUCUUUUGGGGGGAAUUCAAAAGCCGUUUUAUGCCUCAUUACCUGCACACUGUGAGUGAUGUCUGUCGGUCCAUGUGCUGUAAAUACCUUAAAUCAUGCUUCAUUAAGAAUAUCUAUGGUGCUAUUAAAGAGCUAUAAUAGACAACGAGUUAACAGAUGAUUAAAGAUGAAUUCCAUUUGUGUCAGUCACCAGCCAGAGAGAGACGAGGGGCUGUAAGUUCUCAAUUCAUUAUCCAAGGGAGUGAAGCUCUCUCGGUGCCCCAUCCUGGAUUUGUGAGGAGUGGGAAGGCAGGGGAGGGCUGUCAGGAGUGGAGAUGGGCUGUGUGGUGGCGAGGUCAGCUGGACCGUGGGAGGAUGAGCAGGUGGGACCAGCCAAAGGGAACGUAAAGGGGGAAUCCUGAGGGGGCUCAGAGAAAGGCAUGUAUGUCAGGGGCUGUGCUGUCUGACAGCUGUCAGCUCUGCCUGGCUGUUUCCACGCACGUAGUCAAAUUCCACUUGGAGCCAUAAGAAACAGAUCAAUCUUGAAUGUCUGGUAGCCAGAGAAAAAUAGGCAAGUGGAAAGGAGGAGAGGGAGUCCCAAAGGUGGAGACACUGGUUUUCUGGUGGUAGCAGAGGCAGGUAGGAAGGAAGAAGUGUUUUUGGACAAGAAAAGAUGGGUGUCACCAAGAAAAAAAGGGUUUGGCAAAAAAAGAUGGGACUGUCGAGGUGGUAGAAUAGUUUCCCACUAAGAACUAUCCCUUAAAGGCAGAGAGGUGCACUGUCCCACCUCUGAUCUCUUCACAGAAGCGCCAGCACCGCUACUCCAGAGCCAGAGGAUCUCACUCCCCUUCGCCCUACUCUAGUCUGCCGGCAGAGCUCUGGAAAGCACCAGGUAGCAUAAUUCCCAGCCAGUGCUUGGGACCACACUGACUUUAGGCGGCAACAGAUGGGUAAUGCAGGGGCGCCUGGGACUCAGUCGGUUGAGCGUCCGACUCUUGAUUUCGGCUCAGGUCAUGAUCCCAGGGUCGUGGGAUGGAGCCCCAAGUAGGGCUCCACAAUGAGCAUGGAGCCUGCUCAAGAU